CACGCCCCCACACUGUUUCCACUCCAUUGCUAGGAGAGGCUGUCUAGAACUGGAGAGUUUUGAGAAGCUGUUGGUGGAGGAGUCGUUUUUUUACAUAUCACCUCCUGUGCCCCAAAUCUUUCCCAGAAUCUAGGGGAAUAGAGGACAAGGCAGUUUUGUUGUUGUUGUUUGUUUGUUUGUUUUGAGGAGCAUUCUUCUUUUACUGGAUAUAAAAGUAAUACAUCUGACAAUGCCUGGUAAGGAUAUGGAGACAUAGGAUCUCUUACACAUUGCUGAUGGGACUAUGUAUUGAUUAAUGCAACAACUUUGGGAAAACACUUUCUUUUUAUUAUUAAUUGACAAAUCAUAAUCGUAUGUAUUUAUGGGGUAUGAUACGAUGUUCUGAUAUAUGUAUACAAUGUGAGAUGAUUAAAUCAAGUAAAUUAAUAUAUCCAGCACUUCAAACACUUUUUUAAUGGUGAAAAUGACACUGCCAUUACAAAAUUAUAACUGAAACAGGGAAAGAUAUCUGACCUAAACAACUCCAUCUUGCCUCUAACCUCCAAGCUGUCCCUGUUCAUUCCUCGGCAUAGGCCAAACUAACUUUGGGAGGAAUUUAGUUUAUAGUUUAAAACAAAAAUGACAACAGCCCUUUCCCAAAACAAACCUCUUUCUUGCAUGGGGUCUAGACUGCCUUUGUAGGACUAACAAAUUAGUCAAAAGAUUAGAAAUUAUGGUUUAGGAGUCAUGCUGCUGGAGGCUACAAGAUUCUGAGCCCUCCCCACAUUGCUCCUGGGGAUAAAAUUACUAUCGUAAAACCUACGACCACUGCUUGAGAUAUUUUGCAGACCCCGCACCUGAUGAAUCAGCUGGCACCACCCAGAUUGAAAAACUGGCUCAUCUGAUCUUGUGGCCCCCUACCCAGGAACUGACUCAGCGCAAGAGGACAGCUUCGACUGCCUGUGACUUCAUCUCCAACCCAGCCAAUCAGCACUCCCAAAUCACUGCCCCCACCCACCAAAUUAUCCUUAAAAAUUCGGAUCCCCCUUGGGGAUACUGAUUUGAGUAAUAAUAAAACUCUG
rnacentral:lncRNA from 1 species